rnacentral:rRNA from 1 species
AUUGAACGCUGGCGGCAGGCCUAACACAUGCAAGUCGAGCGGAUGAAGGGAGCUUGCUCCUGGAUUCAGCGGCGGACGGGUGAGUAAUGCCUAGGAAUCUGCCUGGUAGUGGGGGAUAACGUCCGGAAACGGGCGCUAAUACCGCAUACGUCCUGAGGGAGAAAGUGGGGGAUCUUCGGACCUCACGCUAUCAGAUGAGCCUAGGUCGGAUUAGCUAGUUGGUGGGGUAAAGGCCUACCAAGGCGACGAUCCGUAACUGGUCUGAGAGGAUGAUCAGUCACACUGGAACUGAGACACGGUCCAGACUCCUACGGGAGGCAGCAGUGGGGAAUAUUGGACAAUGGGCGAAAGCCUGAUCCAGCCAUGCCGCGUGUGGGAAGAAGGUCUUCGGAUUGUAAAGCACUUUAAGUUGGGAGGAAGGGCAGUAAGUUAAUACCUUGCUGUUUUGACGUUACCAACAGAAUAAGCACCGGCUAACUUCGUG